UACGUAGGGUGCAAGCGUUAAUCGGAAUUACUGGGCGUAAAGCGUGCGCAGGCGGUUUUGUAAGUCUGUCGUGAAAGCCCCGGGCUCAACCUGGGAAUUGCGAUGGAGACUGCAAGGCUUGAAUCUGGCAGAGGGGGGUAGAAUUCCACGUGUAGCAGUGAAAUGCGUAGAGAUGUGGAGGAACACCGAUGGCGAAGGCAGCCCCCUGGGUCAAGAUUGACGCUCAUGCACGAAAAGCGUGGGGGAGCAAACAGG
rnacentral:rRNA from 1 species